UCGGAUAUGGUGUAACGGCUAACAUUGCCGCCUCUCAUCAAUCAUCUCUUGAUUUGUGUUGGUCACGCGGCAGCUCGGGGUUCGAUUCCCCGUAUCCGAA